rnacentral:rRNA from 1 species
AGAGUUUGAUCCUGGCUCAGAUUGAACGCUGGCGGCAGGCCUAACACAUGCAAGUCGAGCGGUAACAGAAAGUAGCUUGCUACUUUGCUGACGAGCGGCGGACGGGUGAGUAAUGCUUGGGAACAUGCCUUGAGGUGGGGGACAACAGUUGGAAACGACUGCUAAUACCGCAUAAUGUCUACGGACCAAAGGGGGCUUCGGCUCUCGCCUUUAGAUUGGCCCAAGUGGGAUUAGCUAGUUGGUGAGGUAAUGGCUCACCAAGGCGACGAUCCCUAGCUGGUUUGAGAGGAUGAUCAGCCACACUGGGACUGAGACACGGCCCAGACUCCUACGGGAGGCAGCAGUGGGGAAUAUUGCACAAUGGGCGCAAGCCUGAUGCAGCCAUGCCGCGUGUGUGAAGAAGGCCUUCGGGUUGUAAAGCACUUUCAGUCAGGAGGAAAGGUUAGUGGUUAAUACCCGUCAUGUGUGACGUUACUGACAGAAGAAGCACCGGCUAACUCCGUGCCAGCAGCCGCGGUAAUACG